UACAGAGGUCUCAAGCGUUGUUCGGAUUCAUUGGGCGUAAAGGGUGCGUAGGUGGUGAUGCAAGUCUGGUGUGAAAUCUCGGAGCUCAACUCCGAAAUUGCACCGGAUACUGCGUGACUCGAGGACUGUAGAGGAGAUCGGAAUUCACGGUGUAGCAGUGAAAUGCGUAGAUAUCGUGAGGAAGACCAGUUGCGAAGGCGGAUCUCUGGGCAGUUCCUGACACUGAGGCACUAAGGCCAGGGGAGCAAACGGG
rnacentral:rRNA from 1 species